ensembl:lncRNA novel transcript
ACCCUAGACGUCCUCACACAGAAUCUGUGAGGGGCUGGCCUAGGCAGAAUUAUCUUUUAAAAACUUUGCAUAUGAGGUGCUUGAUAAAAGCUAGUUGGAUUUGAAUUUGGCCACAGCUCAGAUAAUCUGGGGAACUGGGGUGUCUGCUAAGGAUAUGUGACCAUCUGCUGGUGUAAACCUUUCAGAUGAUGGGGAAGCCGGGCAUCACGGAGAGCUGAGAAGACUCGCUUGUUCACACUUACUCGAAAGCAGAAGAGGCCUGGGAACUUCAGCUGGCGACUCUGGUGUUUCUGACUUUGGCUAUCAGCAAACACUGCUGGAGGCUCUGCCCCGUCCACACCCAGCUUCUGUGAGCACGGAGGAGGCAUAAUCUGCAAAGUCUGACACAGGCCAUGCCUAACCAUCCUUGACUGGCUACCUCCAGUGACAUAAAACUGAGAAGCAAAGACACCCAGGAGGCAAGGCUGCAGUCAUUUAGGAGAGUGGACGGAUGCCAGGGCUGUGCUGCCUGCAGCCUUUGUGGGGCUCAGUGACCAGAGGAGCAGCCCAUGCCAAGCCUAGUCCCCAGGGAUGCUGCCUGCGGUGCUCACGCAUCUUAUACAGGGACACAGAGGAACUCUGGGCUCCACCCUGCAGCCUCUGCUCCAGCACGCGGUGGUCCCAGGAGAUGUAGAACCAGCCCUUCCUCUGCAGUUGCACUGGCCCCACCUUCGCUUCCGGGACCACAGAGCCCCUGGAGCCUGCACGCCACGGAGUCUCCCACUGAGGAGUGAGGAGGCCUCUUGUGGGGACAGAUCUGGAAUGAGUGGCAUCCAAACCUGACUCAUAUUUCCAACUUUAUUAAUUUUUGCAAGACUUCGGAGGGUGCUCUGUGGCGAUUAAUAUUGCUGAGCUGAGCACAGCUGCAGUACUUUCCUGUAAAACUGACUAAAGGAGAAGUUGGUGUCUUCCUCAUACAAGAAAUACAUAAAUCAGUUAAAAAUAGUUCUCCGAGCGGAUAUGAUGAUGUCGUGGCCGUCACAGGAAACACAUGAAUCAGCCUCAUCCUCAGUUCCAGGGAAGUGGGGACAGUCGGUGGUC